UGGGGGCUCGUACAAUGGCAGUACUGCACACUCUGGAUGUGCAUAUAGAGGUUCGAAUCCUUUGCCCUCAGCCU
rnacentral:tRNA from 4 species